rnacentral:sRNA from 1 species
UCCCGGAAGUGCGCGCGGCCCCGCCCCCGCCGGUUCGCGUCUCUCUGCUGCGGCGCGGGGACCGCUGUGCUCUCGGGAAAGCCCUGAGAAACUACCAGAACAGGGGCCCUCGGGCCAGUGUUGGGAGCAUACGGUGAAGUGGCAGGGCUGCUGCACCAGUGCGGAACUCCCCUGUGGAAGAUUAGCCCCUUUGGUGACUCGUCGGUUCUGGCCGCUGUGGGACCUUCCACUGUGCAGUCUGAACUUUCAGCAGGUGGAGGAGGGCAGAGACCUGAGAGUGUUGGUCCAUGCCAGUGCGAGAGCCAGUACAGCCGGAAGCCAUGAUGGGACUUUCAAUUCCUUUCUUGGUGGAGGCCAGCGCAGGGGAGAGGGGGUGCCUGUAGGUGCUAGAAGCUUAAAGACUGCUGGGGGCUAGUGGCCGCCUCAGGACAUAAGGUUUCCAGAUAGGACGGGGCAGGUGGUGAUGCAGCUGUAGCUGGUGAGUCUGGCCGGGGCAGGUGGUGAUGCAGCUGUAGCUGGUGAGUCUGAGCGGGAAACAGCCCCCGCGCAGUCGGUGUCACUGUGAAGAGAAAAGGGCCUUCCUUACACAGGAAACGGGGUCUCUGGGGGAUCCAGUGACGUUUCCGACCACACAGACCA